CUCGUGCAUCGUGGACGCUAUUUUUAACAAAUGACGGCAAGCUUGCAUAAAAUAAAAAUUUGAUGAACAAGGCGAUAGAAUUAAAUCUUGCAAUAAUUUGUCAUCACUGGAGCACUUUCGUCAAUAAAAAUGUAUUUCAAGGAGAUGAAUAAAAUCGUAACAAAGUAUUUAUAAUUUAA